GGAAGAGACAAGUGGAGGUGAGACAAUGCUCCAGGGUGGACUGUUUGAAGAGAAGAUUGCAGAGGCCAGCCAAGGCAAAGGGAGGAGGAGAAGGGAGUAGACAGGCUACUGUUACAUUAACCAAAGCUGGUCCCCUGUAGCAAAUCAACAAGGGGAUGUGGAAUGGAUAAAUGGAGGGGUUAUGUGGAAUAAACCCUGCCUUAUGUGCUGGAGGGUAGAGAUGCAUUUCCAUAACAGCGAUAAAUUGGAUUUAACGGCAAAUCAUCGCCAACAAUGGUUGAGGACGCUAAGGGCUGUUGUCUGUCCCACCCCACAGCGAGGAUCUACGAAGACCUCUGUUAAUUUUUGUGUGCCUUGGUGUCUAAACGGUCUCGUCUCGCUUAAGGCGGAUGCCAGCACAGACUCAAUCCGAACAAGCCCCGCCAGGCAGACUUUGAGCUGCGGGGAGCACCUACCUGUUACACCUGCUACUCAGGCCUACAGGUGCCAUGGAGAUAAAGAGAUACUGGGUACUGGGAGAGUCAGCGGGACAUGA